GACGAACCGUCCAAACGUUAUUCGGAAUCACUGGGCUUACAGAGUUCGUAGGCGGUCUGGAAAGUUGGGUGUGAAAUCCCUCGGCUUAACCGGGGAACUGCGUCUGAUACUGGAUGGCUUGAGUUCGGGAGAGGGAUGCGGAAUUCCAGGUGUAGCGGUGAAAUGCGUAGAUAUCUGGAGGAACACCGGUGGCGAAGGCGGCAUCCUGGACCGGCACUGACACUGAGGAGCGAAAGCCAGGGGAGCAAACGGG
rnacentral:rRNA from 1 species